rnacentral:lncRNA from 1 species
GGAGAGCUGCCUUGACUUUAUAAGGAGGUCAAUAGGAGCCCUCUGUGAAACCCGGGUCUAAAGUUGUUAGAAUAGAGAGGAAGAAUCAAACUCUUAUCUUAUAGGGUAGCUACGAGUGAGCCUUCGGUGAGUAGUUCUUCCUUUCUGAUAGUAAGCACAGGAGAAGCAAAAGACUCCUUCCCUUUGGUCGGUCAGUCGGUGCAGUCAGUCAAUAAGUCAAUCCGAGUAGGAAGAGUAGCUACAAUGUAUGCCCUUCGGUUUCGAGGACUAGCUUUCUUACUUGAAAGAAAGAAAAGGGAGCAGGCAUUCCCUCCCUUUGGUCAGUCAGUCAGUCUUUUAGUAAGCGUAGUCCAAGUCUUUCUUGUCUAUAGC